GAAGGGUUGCAUGGACCAUGAUGGACUCUGUAGCCUGAAAGAAAUCCUGGGAGCCCCUGGAAUCCCUCUGGAUGUAGCUUUCAGCCACAGGAAGCUCUGUUACUGAGGAGAGACUGGAGAAACCCCAGCACCAAAACCCAGAGAGGGUGUUUUGUGUGAGGAGCAGUUGGACCUUGCAGAAUGAUGAAGCCGGGGGUCUGACCAUAGGGUGGUCUGAUCAAACCCCUUUUGUCUACAGAGGAAGAACUGGACUCAGAGGGCAGAGUUUUACAGAUGUACAAAGUGAUGAUCAGCGGAGGAAAGAGAAGAAAGUGACCUGAAGUUGUCCAUAGGCCAGGCCUGGGAUGUAUGUCUUAACUCCGGGUUCAUGAUUCCUCUCAGCCACACCUCCUAGGGUCUCGCUCUGUCACCGAGGCUGGAAUGCAACAACGUAAUGACGGCUCACUGCAACCUUGACCUCCUGAGCUUGAGCAAUCCUCCAGUUUCAGCAUCCCAAGCAGCUGGGCCUACAGAUGUGUGCCACCACACCUGGCUAAUUGUGUGUGUGUGUGUGUGUGUGUACUUUUUGUAGAGACGGGCCUCACUAUGUUGCCCAAGCUGGUCUCAAACCCCUGGCCUCAAAAACAAUCCUCCCUCCUCAGCAUCCCAAAGUGCUGGGAUUACAGGUGUGAGCCACUGCACUGGGCCAAGGGCAUAAUUUUUAAUGAAAAUUGAGGCAGAGAACAGUUAUGGGAGACAAAUAGAUGACAGUAUCAAGGACUUUUUCAUUAGCAAUUAACGACAACAAAAUAAAA